UUUCCGUAGGUGAACCUGCGGAAGGAUCAUUCAUAAUAAACUGUUUUAUGGCACUUUUUAAAAAUCCGUAUCCACCUUGUGUGCAAUGUUAGAUCUCGUCAAUCUUGGCGAGAUUUUUAUACAUCAACUCAUUUUUUAACUAAUUUGUCUGAAAAAUAUUAUGAAUACUUAAUUCAAAAUACAACUUUCAACAACGGAUCUCUUGGCUCUG
rnacentral:misc_RNA from 1 species